UGGUAAUGCCGGAUGCUCCGGUUGGAUGCAUGUCCUUCCGGGAAAGAUUCUAUCGGUAUGGGAUGGGGUCGCGUCCUAUCAGCUUGAUGGCGGGGUAACGGCCCACCAUGGCUUCGACGGGUAGCCGGCCUGAGAGGGCGACCGGCCACAUUGGGACUGAGAUACGGCCCAGACUCCUACGGGAGGCAGCAGUGGGGAAUAUUGCACAAUGGGCGCAAGCCUGAUGCAGCGACGCCGCGUGCGGGAUGGAGGCCUUCGGGUUGUAAACCGCUUUUGAUCGGGAGCAAGCCCUUCGGGGUGAGUGUACCUUUCGAAUAAGCACCGGCUAACUACGUGCCAGCAGCCGCGGUAAUACGUAGGGUGCAAGCGUUAUCCGGAAUUAUUGGGCGUAAAGGGCUCGUAGGCGGUUCGUCGCGUCCGGUGUGAAAGCCCAUCGCUUAACGGUGGGUCUGCGCCGGGUACGGGCGGGCUGGAGUGCGGUAGGGGAGA
rnacentral:rRNA from 1 species